AAGUGUUUUCCCCUGCGCCAAGGAAGAAAAAGCAAACGUGAAACGCCCUCAAAACCAAACAAAUUGCUGAUCUCGACAGGCGAAGCAGGUUCCCCAUCCCUGUUCACCUGCAGCCCGACUUUGGACUUUGUUAGUGAGCUGUGGGACCGCUCCGAGGGGACACCGGCACCGAGAGCCGCUGUCAGGAGAGGCAGCAAGCUACAGAUGAGAAGUUAUCCAAGUGGUCCUUUUGAGGCCCCUAAACAAGAAAAUAGACUCAGGAGAAUUGAACUUGAAUUAAAGUGAAGAAAGAGAGAGACUAACAAGUGAGCUAUGACAGCAAAGAUUACUUUUGGGGGAAAGAAACCAGCACAAGCAGAGGAAUGAAUGGACACAGAGGAAGAAAUAAUGACAGGAGAGAAAGAGAAGACACAGUAAAAGGCACUACGGGAGCAGCCUGGCGGAGAGGGGCUCGCGGCUGAGAGCGGCAGAAAACUCCGUCUGCAGUCAAUAACAGCAUCCUCCCAGAGCACCUCUCCACCCAGUGACCUUUGAA